rnacentral:rRNA from 1 species
AUUGAACGCUGGCGGCAUGCCUUACACAUGCAAGUCGAACGGUAACGCGGGGCAACCUGGCGACGAGUGGCGAACGGGUGAGUAACGCAUCGGAACGUACCCAGUAGUGGGGGAUAGCCCGGCGAAAGCCGGAUUAAUACCGCAUACGACCUACGGGUGAAAGCGGGGGAUCGCAAGACCUCGCGCUAUUGGAGCGGCCGAUGUCAGAUUAGGUAGUUGGUGGGGUAAAGGCCUACCAAGCCUACGAUCUGUAGCUGGUCUGAGAGGACGACCAGCCACACUGGGACUGAGACACGGCCCAGACUCCUACGGGAGGCAGCAGUGGGGAAUUUUGGACAAUGGGCGCAAGCCUGAUCCAGCCAUGCCGCGUGCGGGAAGAAGGCCUUCGGGUUGUAAACCGCUUUUGUCAGGGAAGAAACGCUCUGGGCUAAUACCCCGGGGUAACGACGGUACCUGAAGAAUAAGCACCGGCUAACUACGUGCCAGCCGCCGCGGUAAGAC